rnacentral:lncRNA from 1 species
GGGGGAAGCCGUCCUGCUGAGAGGAGGCAGGUUUUUUGGCUGGCUUUGCAGUUGUUCCGCUGUUGGAGAGGCAAAUGUGAAGGGAGAAGCCGCUGGCGCUAAGGCCGCGCAGUGGUGUUUCUCUGUGGCGUGUUUCUGAGCUUCCAGUGGGAUGGGGGUGCCCACUGGGGACAGUGGUGCAAGCGUCCACGCUGUUUCCAGUUCAGAGUGUUGUCACCCGGGCCCGUCGUUUUGCAGCUACUUGCAGAUUAUGCGGGUUACACAAACAACAAGAUUUCUAGUUAGAAGCCUUUUUGCCGGCGAUGACUCAGAGAUGCUACUGUUUCAGCAGCCAGCAACUGAUUUUAGCCUAAGUAUAUACUGGAGGAAACAAAGAAGAGAAAGUUACCGUGAUAUUUUGGCUGUAAGAGUGCAGCACCAAAAGCAGAAUGAGGGAGAUCUGUCACACUCCUGAGAAGACUGAUGUCACACACAUAUAUGUCUUCGUUUUGCAAAGCACACAUAUGUUUAUAGUCACUGCAGCUGGAGUGACAAUAGGGUUCAUCACUGACCCAUAACGGAAGUGCCUUUUUUUUUCGUCUUCCGGUGACGCUAUUUCACAGAAGAUGGCUGGAGGUCCUGGUGGUGCUCAGGCAGUGCAAAGCGUUAUAGUGUUUAAGAUCAUCGUCUUAGCUACAGAGCGGGGUCAGAUCCAGAGACAGAGUAGCUGCAGUGCUGCACAAAAGCUAAUUAGCCUAAGUACGAUGCAAUUAGCUCCAUACCAACGUGUCUUUUUUUCUGUGUUCCCCGAGUUGACUCAGUUGUUCAUAGAUCAGGGGUCUCUGAACGUUGUCUUUUUUAGACGUGUCUGCAGUUGGAUCUCAAAAGCAUUGUGACGUGGUUUUGAGAGUAAACAACGGUUGAAUAUGGAUGUGAAUUUGGGUUUGAUAAUGCCGAAAUCAUUUUUACUCUUUUCCAUGGAUUUGGAGACAAAUCAGCCGUGUGUGUGUUUAUAUAUAUAAAAUUUCUCCUGAUUGUUCUUACAAAGUGUUUUUGUCAGAAAAUCCAGGUAACUUUAUUGUUCAAUAAGGAAAGAGUCAACUAUUAGGCACUGAUUGUCACAAAUGUACUUUCCUUGACAUGAGAAAAUCUGAACCUUUGUGGGAAAUUCACUCUGAGAUCUGGAGAGGUAUAUUCUACUAACAGUUCAGGCCAUGUUUCUUAAGACAAAUUUACUAUCCUUUACCACUCAGUUGUCUUCUAAAAUACAGGACUUAAUUAAAGAAAAGCAAUCUUGAAAUUAGUGGGUGGUACAGAACUGAAGAAUUAUGGAAGAUUGCUGAUUCUUUGGCAGAGAAUGGAAAAAAAUGAUGUAUGAUACAGUAAUUUGAAAACUAGGUUUGUGAGUGGCAAAGGAUGACUGUUCUGUGCAAUGUUUGUGCAUAUCUAGCUCAAAGAAUUCUGUCUCAUAAUUAAGGAUCCUACCUGUGAUCGUGAUACCUGUAAAUGAAGGAUAUAUGCCAAUGAAACGUUGGCAAUAAACUUCAAAUUAAGUAAAAUCCA